rnacentral:tRNA from 1 species
GACUGUAGCUCAGUGGCAGAGCGCGUGCCUAGCAUGCACAAGGCACUGGGUUCAAUCUUCAGCACCA